AACAUACCCAGUGAAUGUGUUGUUUUGCACUCUAUUUGUUAUAGUAUUACAGUGGUUAUGUUUAAUUGCUACUCAGCUAUUAAUUAAAAGCUGUUUUGGCUGUUACACCUUCAAUUGAAACUGAGUUCCAUGCAUCUAAAUUUUUGUUGAAAAGGAAAUGCUCCCUUUUAUUAAGAGGGAACAUUUCUAUUUUGACUUAAUUGCAGCUCUCAGUGUCUUAAAGCAAUACCCUCUUAAAUAGUUUUCAUAAGUGGAAAACGUUUUCCAAUAUUUAUUUUGUCAAUGUCAUGCAUAAGUUUGUAUAAUUGGAACGAAUCUCUCCUUUUUAUAUUCUCAGAGUUAGCAUGCCUAUGUCAAUCAAUUAAUUUGAAUGUUCAUCUGAACAAAUUUGUUACAAAACAGUCAUAACCAAUUAAAUCAGUGAAGUUUUUAAACAUAAAUUAUUUAAGAAGUUCCAAAAGUAGAAGGAAAGCACAAAUGAAUUAGCUAUGCUUGUAGAAAGAUUUUUAAAUUAGCAUAGUUAAUAAAUACUAUUUGUAACUAUGUUGUAAAUGUAGAAGUUAAAAAUUCUGGUUGCUUAAAUAACAGUUAAUAGAACUUAAUAGAAGGACUUAUUAGGAUAAAAAUCCAUAAUAAUAGGACUUAAAUCCUACAAAUAGGAGUUAUUAGGACUGAUAAUCUAUAAAUGCAGCAGAAAGGAUUUAAAAACUUGCCACUUAUAGUAAAAGCAGUAAUUAUGAAAGUUAAAAAAAAUAUUAUGCUUACAUUUAGAGAAGACCUAGUCGAUAGACUGUUAAAUAUUCAGUAUUCUAACAAGAGUAACUACAUUUUAAUCACUUGUGUAGAUCUUCCAGCACAAGUUAUGACGUUAUUGAAAAUGCCUUAAAACUCAGAUGUUACUAUAAAGUUAGAUUAUAAUUGCAGUGUAUUUCAAGAUACGAUCCUUUAUGAAAUCUUAAGUUCAAUGAAAUUAUGACAAUGGCUCAUGUCAGCUCGCAACAUUGUUUUCAGACGUUAAAUCUAAAUUUUAUUUGGAAAAGAAGUAGAAUGCAACAUUCAAAAAGUGACUUUUAGAUCAAGUCUGUAUAUCUGCCGAAAACCCAAUUGCAAAGUUAAAGCGAUGCUAUAGCCGAGCCCGUAUUUCAAUCUCUCUGAAUAUAUAUCUGUAAAAGAUCGAUCUACAAAUUUGUGAUAUUUUCUGUAUUUCUUUUUGUUAAGGCUUUACCUGAAUA